GCGCACCGGGUGGAGGCUGAUAGAGAGACAGAGGGUGGAGGCUGAUAGAGAGAGAGAGAGAGAGAGAGAGAGAGAGAGAGAGAGAGAGAGGGUGGAGGACGGAGUCUCUCUGCCGCUCCUGAAGCUCGACCCGCCGCGGAGCGAGGACAUCCUGCGGAUGAGGCUCCGCCACCGACGGCGCCAUGUUGCCCCGUAACCUGAGAGUGGGCGGGGCCGACCUGCCGGGGGCGGAGUCCAGCCAGGUGCCUCUGAUUGGAUACCGACCGCUGCCCCCCGACGGAGCCGCUCCGGCCGCCGGCCGCCCCGACGCGCCGCAGAUUCUAUGAAGCCCCCCGUUGAGACAUAAGGCCCCUG